rnacentral:rRNA from 1 species
ACGCUCGACACCUACAGGAGGCAGCAGUAGGGAAUAUUGGGCAAUGGGGGAAACCCUGACCCAGCAACGCCGCGUGAGGGAAGAAGGUUUUCGGAUUGUAAACCUCUGUCCUAUGGGACGAAGGAAGUGACGGUACCAUAGGAGGAAGCUCCGGCUAACUACGUGCCAUCAGCCGCGGUAAUCUGAGCGGGCUGGCAAGGC